rnacentral:tmRNA from 1 species
GGGGGCGUUACGGAUUCGACAGGCAUAGUUCGGGCCUGAAUUGCGCUUCGUAGGUUACGUCUACGUUAAAACGUUACAGUUAAAUAUAACUGCAAAAACAAACAAUUCUUACGCUUUAGCUGCCUAAAAAACAGCGGGCGUGAUCUAGUCAAGCAUCGCCCAUGUGCUUGUUCUAGGUCUUACUCUAAGUGGGAUACGUAAUCAAAAUCCGUCUGUUUUUGGUUAAAGAGAUUGUCAGACUAGUUUGUUAAGGGGCCUGUCACUCGGCAUCUUUUCAAAUGAACUUUAAAUAGAACUGACUAUGAGCGUAGAUUUUUGGGUGGCGAUAUGUUUGGACGUGGGUUCGACUCCCACCGCCUCCAU